UGCAAGGAGAGAGAACUGUAUUCCGUCGCCGGAGACGAAAGCUUCGCUGCUUAACGCCAUGAACUUCCUAUUUCAUCAGGGUUCUUCCGUCAAGAACUCCGGUCAACAUUGGGAUUCCUUCCUCUGCAAGUUUCAAAUUACAGCUUUCGUGUUUUUCUUUCGGAAUUUACCAGACUAGGUUCUUGGCUUCAUGGAUUCAAGUCCAUUCGCGUUUCUGUCGCAAUUGGGGCUGAAAGCAGACCCGUAAGCGGCGCACUUCACAUUCUUUGCGGUGCUACUCCUUGUUUGUUAUCUAAUUGUUCGCCUUUUUUGAAAAGAAACGUUGGCCGAAUGAGUCAAUUACUUCCCUAGCCAUGUUUCAGGUGAAGAAGAAACAGCUCUUCGCAACUUUCUGGCAAUCAUAUUGUUUGGUGCUUUUGGAAGGGUGAUAUCAUUCUUCAUCAUAUCAGUAGGUACAUUCCU